CAAUAGCGUAUAUUAAAGUUGUUGCGGUUAAAAAGCUCGUAGUUGGAUUUCUGCUGAGAACGACCGGUCCGCCCUUUGGGUGUGUAUCUGGCUCUUUCUUGGCAUCUUCUUGGUGAACGUUGCUGCACUUGACUGUGUGGAGCGCUACCCAGGACUUUUACUUUGAGGAAAUUAGAGUGUUUCAAGCAGGCAUACGCCUUGAAUACAUUAGCAUGGAAUAAUAAGAUAGGACCUCGGUUCUAUUUUGUUGGUUUCUAGAGCUGAGGUAAUGAUUAAUAGGGAUAGUUGGAGGCAUUCGUAUUUAACUGUCAGAGAUGAAAUUCUUGGAUUUGUUAAAGACGGACUACUGCGAAAGUAUUUGCCAAGGAUGUUUUCAUUGA
rnacentral:rRNA from 1 species